rnacentral:rRNA from 1 species
GACGAACGCUGGCGGCGUGCUUAACACAUGCAAGUCGAACGGAAAGGCCCUGCUUUUGUGGGGUGCUCGAGUGGCGAACGGGUGAGUAACACGUGAGUAACCUGCCCUCGACUUUGGGAUAACUUCAGGAAACUGGGGCUAAUACCGGAUAGGAGCUCCUGCUGCAUGGUGGGGGUUGGAAAGUUUCGGCGGUUGGGGAUGGACUCGCGGCUUAUCAGCUUGUUGGUGGGGUAGUGGCUUACCAAGGCUUUGACGGGUAGCCGGCCUGAGAGGGUGACCGGCCACAUUGGGACUGAGAUACGGCCCAGACUCCUACGGGAGGCAGCAGUGGGGAAUAUUGCACAAUGGGCGGAAGCCUGAUGCAGCAACGCCGCGUGCGGGAUGACGGCCUUCGGGUUGUAAACCGCUUUCGCCUGUGACGAAGCGCGAGUGACGGUAAUGGGUAAAGAAGCACCGGCUAACUACGUG